ensembl:lncRNA
CUCUCUAGAGCCUCCAAGGCAUUGCAGAGGCUCAGAACCUCAUUACUUCUAUAAAGUGGAUUCAGUAAUUAGCUCAGGUCAAAAGUUUACAGCUUGUAGGCUGCUGCUAGGGAAUGGUUCCUCCUGGACAUUAGAAGCCAAACUGCAGAAAGCAGGAAUUGGCAUUAAGGCAAAACACUUAAUCAAGGGUCUUUGGGAUGAGAUUCUCUUGCUGUAUUGGCUGACUGGACAGUGAUGUGCCCUCAGAAGGAGAGAUACCACACUAGAGAAGCAGACAGGACAUGGCCAGGAAUCCUUGUGAAGCUGGGAAUCGCCUCCCUGGGUGUGACUUGCGUUAGCAGAGCCAAAAUCCUGCCAUGGCCAGAACAAGGUUUUUAAAGCAGGCUGAAGAAAGCUGCUGCAGGCUCAGUCCUGCCCUGUUCCCUCCACACAGCCCAGCUGAAGAGACCUAAAGCAAGAACUCAUCCCAGUGGGACAGGGCUGGCAUCAGUGGAGAAGACCAGCAAACUUGACAGUGCCCACAAGGAAUGUCCAACUGCCAGCAAGCUGCUCACGGCUCUCAGGCUGCUGGAGGAGUGAUGGGAGGCAGAGGGAGCAUCCACUCCUGGAAUGCUGCUCCCCGGGGUUGGACAGGAGAGACCCCCUGGGAGGCAGCAAUGGCCUACAGCUAUCCAGCAACUCAAAGCUCAAACAUCCCAUGGAAAGGUGCUCCCUGGACAGGUAUCGACGGGGUGAGAGCUGGCUUUGGGUCACCCUUGUUCUAUACAGCCAUCAAACCAGCUCAGAGCACCUUGCUGAGUUGGAGAAGGUGCAGGAAUACUUUCAGAUGCCUCCAAAAUUUCCUUUUAACUGAUUUUCCAAGUGUCCAAAUUUGUUUCAGCCCUGGACAUUGUCAUCAAAGAUAAGAAAGCAGUGAGUGUGGAGGACUUGGUUCCUGACUGGGUCUUUCUGAGGAAGGCAUCAAUGGAGACAUUUUGCUUCCUGUGUCUUAGCAUACACAACUGGGCUUAAAUUCCUCUGAGAAUCUCACACUUUAGGGUGUUCAGCAUUCCCUGAAAAUAUUCCAUUGAUGCAAAAUGAGUGUCCUUGUCCCCACUGCUGAGAACUGUGCACAGGGCAAGGAGGGCUCCAGCUGUGAUCCUGUGGCUCUGAGGACUGACAGGACAGCAGCUUCCAUGGCUUUCUGCCCAGUGUCUUCUACGAGGAAUUUCAGGGGAAAAUAUUUCACAGAAAGGGAGUUGUGAAUGGCUCAUUAGGAAUGAGUGGGAAAGAAGGCACCGUACUACAUGAUGACGUAUCAUGGAGGAAAUGUGACUAAAAUGAAUGUGAAAUAGCAAAAACAAGGCUUCAGGCCUUGGGCCAGUUCCUCAAGAACCCCUUGAAGCAAAUCCUGGAUUUGUCCUCUCUCUGUGGUUACAGAUCAUUGUGUGGGUUCAUGAUCCUAUUGCCAGUCCAUGAUCCUAUUACCUUGGGAAUAGGAGAGAGACUCUGUGAGUCUUCUGAAGUGCCACUAUGAGAGCAAAAAGAAGAGGCUGGACUAGGGUCAGGGAAUUCCCAGCAACUACACAAGCUGUUGUUGAGUGUCUCUGGUUUGAGAACAAGGAAGGAAAAUCAUCAUGACUGAUUUACAGAGACACCCUGAUGAAUGCUAUCAUAACCUGACACUUUGCAUGGAGCGAACAGAAACAAUAAACUAGUGAUUCUG